rnacentral:rRNA from 1 species
CCGUACCAUGCUGAAUAUACCGGUUCUCGUUAGAUCACCGAAGUUAAGCAUCAUUGGGCGCGGUCAGUACUUGGGUGGGUGACCACCUGGGAACACUGCGUGCCGUU